rnacentral:rRNA from 1 species
UACGUAGGGUGCAAGCGUUGUCCGGAAUCAUUGGGCGUAAAGCGCGCGUAGGUGGCUUCGUAAGUCCGUUGUGAAAGUCAAAGGCUCAACCUUUGAAUGCCGAUGGAUACUGCGGAGCUAGAGUACGGAAGAGGCGAGUGGAAUUCCUGGUGUAGCGGUGGAAUGCGCAGAUAUCAGGAGGAACACCAAUAGCGAAGGCAGCUCGCUGGGACGUUACUGACACUAAGGCGCGAAAGCGUGGGGAGCGAACAGG